GGGGCGGUGCGCGGCUGUGCCGCCGGACUGAGCCGCGGCCCCUUCGGGGAUCCGCGAGGAGAGCAGCUCUUGGAAAGCCCCGCGGCUUCCUCGAUCGCCUUCACUUUAUUCGGAAUUUCAGUUCUCCGGCCGCGAGUGCUGUUGCGUGUGGGAGACGAGCGGGGAGCCGCGUUUGUGCAGCCUGGUGGGGGAUCGGGGAACCUCAGAAAAGCCUUUAAAGGUUUAUCUUUGUACUGUGUGCUGGGCAGUCCUGAAGGGGAGGUUCUGUGUGAAGAGAAGUCUGAGAUUUUGGCCUUAGCAACCCUUACAAGUGCAGGAGAGGAAGAAUUAAGGAGAAUGGCUGUGGUGUGCAGAGUCUGAAGAAUCCAUGUCAGUGUAUCCGGUCCCCUUUUCAUGCAGUGUAAGGAAGACGGUGAUGGGAGGAUUCAGUCUUCCCCGUGGUACCAGCAGAAGAGCAAGAACAGCACCUGAGAGCUAGAUGCAGAGAUCCAUGGCUUUUUGCUUCUCAUACAGAUUACUUCUUGUAUCCGAGUCCUCAGAGUGGUGAAACCAUACUGAAGUGGCUUUUUGCUUUGACGGCUUUGCAAUCUCUGACUUUCUGGCAGUAUUCAGUGAUGACUUUCAUUUUCCAAAUGCUGUGAGUAGGUUGGAGACUCUCAAAGCUACAUUUACAGUAAAUGUGAUGCUGCAGUAAUGAUGGGUCAAUUCAGAUUCAGUCUGUAAUGUGGAGGGAAAAAAAAGCCAAACACCUUCAAUAAAAAAUAAUGUUAAAGUGACUUUAGACAGCAACUUAAUAGUUCCGUGUCAUUAUGUGUGCAAUUAAAAGCCUUUACCCAUGAAAAUGGAGUUGCUUGGAUUUGUUAAUCAUCAUUCUUUGCUACGGUGAAAUAGACUGAGGUAAAUUCUUAUGGUGUUAAGAAUGGCUUCAUGCUGUAAUGUGAAAAUCCAUUUUUCACGGAGCAACAAUUUCUCUCUUAAUGCUUUUCUCCAUUCUUGGCGCUGUCUGAAAUGAUGACAGUGUCACAGUAACACGAAGCUUUCAGAUGUAACAUUCCCAGCAUUAUCUUCAGCUGUGCUUCCACUCUGCUCUGUAACUUCUGUUGAAAGGCACUGGGCUGGGUGACCCAGAGCACCUGAGAGUGCAGCAGCAGGAGUUACUUGUGUCACUGAGCUCUACCCAGAAACUCCUCUCUGGCUUCAGUUGCUCUUGUUGCUUUAAGGAGACACCUUGUACAGAUUAGAAGUUCAUUUUUUAAGCAGAUAAGAGUUGUUUCUCUGUGUCCCACAGAGCUUCAGUGACUGAAGGAACUGUCCUGCAACUGGGAGGCUGCUUUUGUGCUGCUGGAAGUGGCUGUGGGGGAGGGAGGGAGGAUGUGGUUGGGAUUAAAGUGUUACGGCAAUCUUCCGGGCAGACUUGCUCUUUAGGGUUCAGCUGUUUCAGUCGUGUUGGCAAAUCUCUGCUCUGUCCAUCUUUGUCACCCACACAAGUGACUGCACAGAACAUUUUGCUCCUUUGGGGCCUGUCACAAAAUGAAGAUUUUUUUUAACUAUCUCUGUACAGUUAGCGUUUAAAAAGUAGGGUAAUAAUCGUCCCUGAAAGCGGGUUGAAAUGGUGCUGGGCUGUAACUGCUGCAGUUGGAUAGAAGCUGUUACAAUCAGGCUUUUUUUUGGAAGCCCUCUCCUUGGAGCCAGGCCUCAGGGCACGAGGUGCCAGGCGCUUUGGGUAGCAGACCCUGUGGGAGCUUAGUGCUGGUCCUGUGCUUGCCCAAGUCCUGCACCCAGGUCGUGGCUGUCUGAGGGACUGACUGCGUUCUGCAGAGGAAAUGUGAGGGUUGUGCUCUUCCUCUGACACCCGCAAAAAGCGAAGCACAAGAGAAACCAAUGGCAGAGCUGGAGCUUUGCCUGGCUGGUAGGAAAGGCUGUGUGCGGAUCUGAGGUCUCUGCAGACCCCAUCUACAGCUCUGAGCACAGAAUUCCCUUUGUAAAUCUGCCCCGAGCUCCUUCUGGAAGAUGUCUAGCUUUUUAAAAUUCCCAUCUAGAUGCAUCUGUAAGCUGGCCAAAUCCCAUCAGAAAUCGGUGACCUUGCUGAUGCUGCUCUGGCAAUGGCCAGACAUUAGAGCUGCAGGAAAGUGAAUUUCUAUCCAAAAUGUGGUACUUCACCUUGAGGUAAAAUCAGCUAUGCAGUAAAUCUGUGCUCCACAGAAAAUCUAAAGCAAGGCUUUUAUUAAAUUUUACCCAGAGCUUCUAUAACAGCGUUACACGUGGUUUAACCAUUAAAAAAAAAAAUUAAAAAAAAAUCACUGGUGUGGUUUCAAAGACAGGAAAUAAAGCAGGGUCUGGGCAACAGCUAGACAUUAAUUAAGGUAGAACUGAGCACUGUCAUUUCAGCCAACUUGCUGGCUGGGUCCAUGUCACACUUCCUCCAGCUCUGCCAGAAGCUGCUACCUCCUUGUGCUGGUGGCCUCUCCAUCUCUGGCACUCAACUUCUGAUCCAGCCUGCUCACAGUGGCUCUGGCUGCUGCUGGGCCCUCAAGUAACAAGCUUGGUAACUCAAAUGAGGAGCAAACUGGUAGGUUUGAUGGUUUGAACUCUCCUUCAACUUAUUUGCCAUGCUGGUGUGUCCUAGUGUUAGUCUGUUUUCUGAGGUGACAAGCGAUAGGGUGUGAGUAAGCUGCCUCAAACUGUGCUGAGGGAGGCUUAGAUUGGAUAUCGGGAAGAACUUCUUCACAAAAAGGUGGUUAGGGGUUGGAAAGUGCUGCUCAGUGGAGUCCCCAUCUCAGGUGGUAUUUAAGACAUAUGGUUGGGACACCAGGUGACAUGGUUUAGUGGUGGACUUGUGUUAGGUGAUGAUUGGACUUGGUGUUCAUGAAGGUUGUCCUAAAUGAUCCCAUGACUCUUUGAACUACAGGUUUUAAAGGCUUUUCAACACUACAGUAAUCUGAAGAGUGUUGUCUGCAUAUGGAUCCUGUGUCCUUUUUCCCUACUGCUGGCAAGCAAUGUGAAUACAGCACAUCUUCGUCUGCUGUUCUGUUGUUUGUUUGUUUUUCAUGUCUCAUUGACACACAUUGCCCCAGGGGAAAAUUUAAAUGAUAAAAAUAAAUUCUUGUUGGAUCGUUUGCUUGAAUUUCAAGAUAUUUUGCAGUUCCAGAAACGUGAUGGUGUCAGUAGCAUGCUCCAGGGGCCAGGGUAAUCCAAAGUGGUUUGCAAAUGCUUGUAAUUCAGGAUUUGGUGAGAAAUUAUUCAGCUUAAGGUGGUUAAUAAGUUCAUGCUGUAAUGUUGAUGAUAAUAAGUUCUUCAGACAUCUAGACGUGUGAUUGCACUGAGUGCAGCUAAACGAAACCUUCUGUGUGUGUGUUACUUGUGGGAGAUCCCAUCCCACACAGCGAUGCCCAGCAGCAUCAGUGUGGCUGGAGGCAGUCAGCUGCGCCUUCCCUGGCUCCCAGAAGGAGCCCCGGGCAAUGUGAGGAACUAUGACCAGCUGAUCACUGUGGUUAUUGUUAAUUUUACAACAAAAGGAGAGGACAGAUUGCUGUAGAGCCUGGUUGGAGGGUUGUCAGUGCGUUUUGAAGGCUGAAAGUUCCCUUGUUUCACUAUUACCUCUGCUUACCCAUAUUUAGCUGCUUGAAGAUGCUGCCAAAUGCAUCAGCGCUGAUAGAAGUAACUUCGCUAAGUCUGAUUAUUUGUGCUGUUAGGUUUUGAGGUCAGCUCUGCAAAACAGUUCAGAAUGACUUAAUCCAGAGGUUAUAAUGAGGAGCAUUUCUAUAUACAAAAGCAGUUUGGAUGAUGGGCAGAGAGGAGUGUAAUUGCACUAGUUAGAUUUGGAGUGGGGCGCUAACUUUGUGACUUUCUGUUAUGUUGAAGAAUGACUUUCUUAGCUUUGUUUUCAGCAGCUUGAACUUUUAACCUUUUGUUCUGUUCAAAACUUCAGCUGCUCAGUGCCAAGCUGGACACUGCAGGGUUGGACGGGCAGUCUCUGUGAAAUGGAUGCUCCAAACAACUGUAUCCAGCCUGUGCUCUCUGACUUGCAAUCAAGCCAGCAGGUUCCUGCUUUUGAGUAACUUUGCUACAGUGGACUUAAAAAAAAAAAAAAAAAAAAAAAAAAGUUGCAUCACCCCAUGCAAUUCCAUUAAAGGAAGAUGAUGUUACAGAUUACUGUCAGAACUGUCAGGCUGUUGUGGGUUAUUGAUAUUCCACUUCUGCUGGACUGCAUUAAUCCCUUCUGUUGGUGUUCAGACAAAUGGCCCAGAUGAGAGAGUCACUGACCAGUAAAAGCAGUAGUUGAACGAGUUUGGUGUUCACUGCCAGCCUUGGCAGGUGCUUGGGCUGAGCUGAGCAGAAGCAGCUUUAGGGAUGCAUACAAGGUGUGGCAGCAAGCCCUCUCCUGUUCAGGGAUGACAGGGAAUUGAAAGAAUACUUUCUUUCAGCUUCUGUUUGCGAAGAAAGAAGGAGUUUCCAACUCUUCUGUACAAUGAGUUGCUCUCUGAGCUUGGCAAUGAGCUUAUACAAGAUUGCAGUACCCAUAAGCCAUCACCUUCUGAUUGCCCUUCCGAUAGUGACUUGACUCGAGAUAAUUUAAAGAGACAGUGGUAACUAGCUUGAUAAUUACAGCCAGUGCAAUAUUAUUUCCUUCCUCUCCUUGUCUGAAUUUGGCCUUUCCAGUGAGCAAACAAGGUGAUUGCUGGCCAAAGGAGGACAGAGCUCAGAAACACGAGAUUUGCUCUGUUGGACUGUGCACUUCUUUCUGCUAGUGAGAUCCUGAUGCUGCCAUCCCGCCUCUGGCACUGACUUGCUUGGCUGAAGCUGUCUGCUCUUUCUGUAUCUGCUCCUUCAUGUCCAUAACCAAGCAGUCAUUGCCUCCCACUGAAGUCCUUGGGUGGUUGGUGAGAGACGUGGGAGCAAAUGGGGAUGGCUCUUACUCUGCUUGCACGAUGUAGGUAGCAGGAUUUUGCCUUAUUGCAGUGGAGCACUUUUAAAAGCACCGCUUCAUGUCAACAGGAAUUAUAUUCCUGUCCAGCAGGUGCUUCAUACUGGACCUUUCCUGUGAGUGAGUGCUGUCUGCUGCAGAAACUCUGUGAUCGUGGCCUCGCAUCUGGGCUCCAAAUGGCAGCAGGAGCCUGGCAGCAAAGUGCAGAGAUUCCCUGCUUCCACUUUAUGGUUCAGUUAAGAUGAACCCUAAGGCUUAUUUACCUACAAAACUGGGUCUGUUUGUGUGCAAGUCCAUCUCUGCCUGUACCAAAGCCAAGUAACCCAACCUACUGGAAGCGUGUUUGGGAUUGAUGCCAGAUUCCCAAACUGGAGAGCAUCAGCUUGCAACUCAAGUGGUGUUGACAUUUGCGGGAAGGCUUUAUGUUCUAAGCCAUCAGAUGUUGGCUGGUGUGUGUAAUCAACUUGGUAUAAUUUUGCUUCAGAAUGAAAUAUUCAGUCAGAAGAGACUUAAUGCUUCUAAUGUCUGGGUAGCAAGCGAUGCUGUGUAGAUCAAGGCAUACAUCUCGUGUUUCAGAGACUGGUUUCAUGGCAACUCCUGUUUGUUACUAUGGUACACAGUCAGUCCUGAGGGAUUUUACUGCCCAUCACUUCUUAGGUCAUGUGAGUAAUCUAGAUAUAAAACCCAUGGAUGUAUGCUAACAGUGGAGACAAAAAGCAAUAAGAAAAUACUGAUGAUCUGCAAAUCUAGUUGUCCUGGGGGACAAAUGUAAAGCUUUAUUCUGCUUAGUGAUUUAGAGUUAGGUAACAAAGCUUGUGACCAGAGCAGGAGGAAAAUGGAAACAGAAGGGGUAAGCAAAACACUUGGGUUUUGCCAGAAGAAAUCGAAGACCAAAAAGAAACCACCGCGGCACAGAUGAUAGAAGGUGAAAUGCCGAAGACUCUCCCUGGAUCCGUAAGACAGCUGAGGAUUUGCUGAAAGAGAGUUAACAUCCAGUAACCAAGUAGUGCUGUUUGUUUAAACAGACUGGAACAGGAUGUUGUGUGUAUUUGCUCCAUCCAGUUCCUAUGCCUCUCCAUUACGAAGCUCACCGGCCACUUCUGGUCUCUCUACAUACGUCUGGUAUUACAGUUCUAAUGCUACAGCUCCAUUGCUUCUAAGACUUGAACUUUAUUGUCUUGUCUUCUCAUCUGAGAGCCAUCCCAGUCACUGAAAUCUUCUUUUUAUGCUUUGUGAAAACUGAAGUGAAGUUUCUCCGAGUUUGCCUUGGAGACUGGGCUGAAUUUGCAUAGAAUAAGACCAGAAGAAGCAGCUGCACGCAGAGGUCCUGUCUGCUUGGUGGCUGGUUUGUUUGUUUGCUUAGAUGGCAUCCAGGCAGGUCUGUGGGAGAACACAAGUACUGACCCAGUACCAUCAGAUGGUUCUGAUAGUCUGGUCACUUCUGUAAGUGCAACCAACUGCUGGGUGAGAUUCACAACAGGCAGAUUGCUGUUGUUAUGAGAAAGGAUGCAAACAUUUCUGUAGUUGCAUGCAGCUGGUAGGUGGGGACUCUUGUUUUGUAUGUGAGCAUUUAGUCUGGUUUUGUUGUCUGACUGACAAACAAGAUUGAGUGGUAACAGAACGAAUCUCACUUUCAGGGAAAACCAUUUCUUUUUUAAGGCAACUGUAAGACAGCUUGUAAUGCUGACUUGUAACAUUGUAACGUUCUGUGAUCAUAGAAUGGUGGAAUGCUUUGGGUUGGAAGGGACCUUUCAGAUCAUGUAGCUCCAACCCCCUGCUACAGGCAGG